rnacentral:lncRNA from 12 species
AACCGACUGAGCCAUCCAGGCGCCCUGCUGUCUCCACGCUUCCGCUGUUGAAGCAGAGGACCCUGUUUUGUGCAGGACCACAGACCUGGAACUAGGAAGCCCAGGCUGCCC